GCUUUUCCCUGAUCAGGCCCCGGAGGUGUUCCCCCCCCUUCCCAGGUUGUGUUUCCAGGGGCAAAAAAAAUGGACCUCCUUUACCUCUGGGCCAGGAAAGGCCCCUGAGCCCUCAGGCUGUGCAGUCCCUACUGCCGCCCCAUGCUCGGGGUGCUCCCCUAGGACCUCUUCAGCCUCCCCAGGGACCACACUUCUUCCCAGGGCCUGUCCUUUCGGGGCCUCACCCCAGCAAGCAGCCCCUCCCUGAACCUGGGCCCUCUCCCAAAAACCCCCAGCCUUUCCCUCCCCCCAGGGCUGGCCCUCCCCCCCGUUAUGGAGGGAAAAGGGUGCUGGCUCCCGGUGGGCCCGCUUCUUCCUCCCCAGGCCCCGCAGGGCCCCCGGGGGGGCAGCUGACUCUGAGGGGCUGGGCACAGGCACUCACACAGGAGAGCGGGCUUCAUGCUGCCAGGCCUAAGUUGCUGGCUUCUUGGCCUGCGGCUCUCUCCAUGUAACCAGCUGAGAACCACAGCUCCCUGCCCCCGGACAGACCUACUCCAACUUACUCCAUACCUGAGCACACCAAACAGGGAGCUGGAAAAGUCCCCCCACCAUCCUCCCCAGCACCACAGCUAGGCUAAGCAGCCUUCUGGAAUGGUGUGCCACCCCGCCAGCUGUCCGUCCAUUCAUUCCACACACUUGGGCUGGGUGUGUCAGCAGAGCUCCAAAUUAGCUGCUGUGGGCAAUCACGUGGGCUGUGGAGCCAGAGAGAGGACCAUGGAAACAGGUGCCAUCUGUGCCCAGCAGAGGACUAGCACCUAGCAGACAGACAGGAACUGUACAUUCAGAGCGAGCAACUAUUCAACUGUCAGCUCUAAGGCUAAGGAGCCAGAGAGGUUGAAAAGUGCCCCCUGCCCCAAUUCACAUCCACCCAGAACCUUGGAACAUGACGUUAUUUGGAAAUAGGGUCUGUGGAGAUGUAACUAAGUUGAGGCCAACUGCAUUAGGGUGGGCCCGAAGUCUGAUGACUGGUGCCCUUACAAGAAGAGAACACACAGAGACACACAGAUAAGAGGCCAUGUGAGGACAGAGGCAGAGACUGAAGAGAUGUGUCUACAAGCCAAGGAAUCCCAAGGACUGCCGGAAUUUGCCAGAAGCUGGAAGUGGCAGGAAGGAUUCUCCUAUGGAGACUUCAGAGGUAGCAGGGCCCUGCCAGCCCUGAUUUCUGACUUCCAGCCUCCAGAAUGAUGAGAGGUUAAAUUUCUGUUGUUUGAAGUCACCCAGUUUGUGGGAGUUUAUGGCGGUGACCCCAGGAAAAGAAUAUGCGAACAGCCCUGAAGCCUGGCCCUAUGAGGUCUUUACGACCCCUCUCCCAUUAAGCGGAUGGUGCUUC
rnacentral:lncRNA from 1 species